rnacentral:rRNA from 1 species
AUUGAACGCUGGCGGAAUGCUUUACACAUGCAAGUCGAACGGCAGCACGGACUUCGGUCUGGUGGCGAGUGGCGAACGGGUGAGUAAUGUAUCGGAACGUGCCCAGUCGUGGGGGAUAACGUAGUGAAAAUUACGCUAAUACCGCAUACGAGCUAUGGAUGAAUGCGGGGGAUCGCAAGACCUCGUGCGAUAGGAGCGGCAGAUAUCAGAGUAGGUAGUUGGUGGGGUAAAGGCCCACCAAGCCAACGAUCUGUCGCUGGUCUGAGAGGACGACCAGCCACACUGGAACUGAGACACGGUCCAGACUCCUACGGGAGGCAGCAGUGGGGAAUUUUGGACAAUGGGCGCAAGCCUGAUCCAGCCAUUCCGCGUGCAGGAUGAAGGCCCUCGGGUUGUAAACUGCUUUUGUACAGAACGAAAAGGUUUCUACUAAUACUAGGAGCUCAUGACGGUACUGUAAGAAUAAGCACCGGCUAACUACGUGCCAGCCGCCGCCGUAA